CAAAGCCGUCCCCAUCUAGAACUAAAUUAUAUAAUAUUAAACUAGAAAAGCGAUAUCGCGGAAACGAGACGUGAGAAUUAGCUAAUAGACGAGAGCGAGCGCAACCUACCUCAUACUCCUCCAGUUCCUCUACUAGGAUCUGCAAAGCAACACAGUACUUUUCGUUAGCCAACUAGCAAGCCGCUCUGUAUAUACCUUCUUUAGAAAAGUAAUCGAAACAACAAUUCGACUUGACUUAUCUUUCCGCUUACCUGUGCCGAUUUUUUGCACGGUCCCGACUGGAGAAAUCUAGCAAUGAGUUUGAAUGGGCACAGCGCCACUGGUUCCCACUACCCCCUUAGAGACCCAACCUGGUUCGCUCAGUCUGGCUCCCAGAAAAUCACUCCUCCCCACCCAUGGGGAUGUAUGCAAAAUGGUGGCAGUAUGUCCUUCAGAUGAGGGCUACACAGGUGCACCGCCAGGCGACGAUUGAGGAUUCUGCCUGCCCAAGCAGCUGAUCCACACAGGAUUCCCCAGCAGUCCACAAGCCUCCAGACUUCUGUGGCAAGUCAUUCAGCAUUGUGACUGGCAGACCUCAAACAGACAUAUUCUCCAGGAAACGACCCGUUUCCCAUGAGCCAGGGAAGAGCGGGAUGCAAGUGUUAUAGCAGAGAUCAAGCCCAAUGGAAACAACUUAAGGAGGCGUGCAACAGUAUAUUCCUUUUGAAAUCAUUUGAAUAAUUACUUCACAAGGAUGCUUUGCAUGUGGUUUGGCACAAAAUGUACAAUUGCUUACAUCCAUUGGCUAUGAUCUG